UUUAGUUAUUUAGGUUCCUCAUAUUUUGAGGAUUAAAAGAGAAUCAUGUGAAAAUCAUGAGCGGACCGGCCACUGUAAUUGGGGAGUGACCUUUCAACAUACCACUGAGAAUAUUUCUUGGGAAGGAGAAAGAAUGCUUUGAUCCAUAAGUCAGGAGAACUGCCUAAGUAU
rnacentral:ncRNA from 1 species